GAUGAACGCUGGCGGCGUGCCUAAUACAUGCAAGUCGAGCGAACAGACGAGGAGCUUGCUCCUCUGACGUUAGCGGCUGACGGGUGAGUAACACGUGGAUAACCUACCUAUAAUACUGGGAUAACUUCGGGAAACCGGAGCUAAUACCGGAUAAUAUAUUGAACCGCAUGGUUCAAUAGUGAAAGACGGUUUUGCUGUCACUUAUAGAUGGAUCCGCGCCGCAUUAGCUAGUUGGUAAGGUAACGGCUUACCAAGGCGACGAUGCGUAGCCGACCUGAGAGGGUGAUCGGCCACACUGGAACUGAGACACGGUCCAGACUCCUACGGGAGGCAGCAGUAGGGAAUAUUCCGCAAUGGGCGAAAGCUUGACGGAGCAACGCCGCGUGAGUGAUGAAGGUCUUCGGAUCGUAAAACUCUGUUAUUAGGGAAGAAAAAAUGUGUAAGUAACUAUGCACGUCUUGACGGUACCUAAUCAGAAAGCCACGGCUAACUACGUG
rnacentral:rRNA from 1 species